UACGUAGGGUGCGAGCGUUAAUCGGAAUUACUGGGCGUAAAGGGUGCGUAGGUGGUCGGGUAAGUCUGAUGUGAAAUCCCGCAGCUCAACUGCGGAAUGGCAUUGGAUACUAUUUGGCUAGAGGGUUGGAGGGGGGACUGGAAUUCUCGGUGUAGCAGUGAAAUGCGUAGAUAUCGAGAGGAACACCAGUGGCGAAGGCGAGUCCCUGGACAACUCCUGACGCUGAGGCACGAAAGCUAGGGGAGCAAACAGG
rnacentral:rRNA from 1 species